CGGUGACUGCGGGCGGGCGGGCGGGGGAAUAGUGAUGGCGCAAGGGUUGUCCGGAAUGUAUGGGCGGAAAGGGCGCGGAGGUGGUCGGUGACGUCGGCUGGGAAAACCCAGGGCUUAACCCUGGGCUUGCAGGGGAUACGGGCAGACGAGAGGCAGGUAGGGGGGAAUGGAAUUCCCGGUGUAGCGGUGAAAUGCGCAGAUAUCGGGAGGAACACCGGUGGCGAAGGCGGUUCUCUGGGCCUGACCUGACGCUGAGGAGCGAAAGCGUGGGGAGCGAACAGGAUUAGAUACCCUAGUAUC
rnacentral:rRNA from 1 species